CAGAGGUAACCUUUGUGGUUCAUUCUGGUUGAUGGUGGAUUUUGUGGUCUUCUACCCAGCAUUCGGUAGUCGUAAAUCCUAUUGUUUGUUUCCCUCCCCAUCGAAGUUUGUGCUUUCCCGUGGUAUAAAUGAAUAUGUGCUCAGCAAACAGCAAUCAUUCAUCUUAUCCCCGGCCGAGUUUGUGGUUUUCUACCCAGUAUUCGGUAGAUGUAAUCUCCCUUCUUG
rnacentral:lncRNA from 1 species